CGUUUAUACCGUGUUCAAUGUAUACUUGAGAUCGAAGCCAAUGUACGAAUUCUAGAUAGAUUAUCUUUGGACGCUCGUACCUUCUGAAUAAGUCAAGUAAACGAAAGCCAUCUGGACUAAAUAUGCAGAGGCGUUGUAGUCAAUGUAGACAGAAUGUUAAAAAAAUUUAUCUAUGGAAUGAAUUUGAUGUGGUUUUGCGAUACCCCACGACCACAGUCAUACAAUCGGACUUCGCAGCCAAGAAUUCGUAAUUCGUUCAUUUGAAUAUGUAAAGACUCUUCCAGCCUUGUUGUUGUUGUUGUUGUUGUUGUUGCUGUUGUUGUUGUUGUUAUUCAUGAUGAUGCUGUUGAUGAUUUUGUUGCUGCUGUCGUUACUGUUGUUGUUGUUACUCAGUGUUGACUGUUGUUGUUACUCAGUGUUGUUGUUGUUGUUACUCAGUGUUGACUGUUGUUGUUACUCAAUGUUGUUGUUG